UCGAGGGUAACAUAAAGUGCUUGCACUUUGAUGACGACCGGCGCACGGGUGAGUAACGCGUAUACAAUCUGCCUCAUACUAGGGGAUAGCCCAGAGAAAUUUGGAUUAAUACCCUAUAGUAUCAUUUAGAGUCAUCUCUUUUUGAUUAAAGGUUACGGUAUGAGAUGAGUAUGCGUUCUAUUAGUUAGUAGGUGAGGUAACGGCUCACCUAGACCGCGAUAGAUAGGGGCCCUGAGAGGGGGAUCCCCCACACUGGUACUGAGACACGGACCAGACUCCUACGGGAGGCAGCAGUGAGGAAUAUUGGACAAUGGGCGAAAGCCUGAUCCAGCCAUGCCGCGUGCAGGAUGACGGCCCUAUGGGUUGUAAACUGCUUUUAUACAGGAAGAAAAAACUCUACGUGUAGAGUCUUGACGGUACUGUAAGAAUAAGGAUCGGCUAACUCCGUGCCAGCAGCCGCGGUAAUACGGAGGAUCCAAGCGUUAUCCGGAAUUAUUGGGUUUAAAGGGUCCGUAGGUGGACAAUUAAGUCAGAGGUGAAAUCCUGCAGCUCAACUGUAGAAUUGCCUUUGAAACUGGUUGUCUUGAGUCAUUAUGAAGUGGUUAGAAUGUGUAGUGUAGCGGUGAAAUGCAUAGAUAUUACACAGAAUACCAAUUGCGAAGGCAGAUCACUAAUAACGUACUGACACUGAUGGACGAAAGCGUGGGUAGCGAACAGGAUUAGAUACCCUGGUAGUCCACGCCGUAAACGAUGGUUACUAGCUGUUCGGACUUCGGUCUGAGUGGCUAAGCGAAAGUGAUAAGUAUAC
rnacentral:rRNA from 1 species